rnacentral:rRNA from 1 species
UACGAAGGGGGCUAGCGUUGCUCGGAAUCACUGGGCGUAAAGCGCACGUAGGCGGGUCUUUAAGUCAGGGGUGAAAUCCUGGAGCUCAACUCCAGAACUGCCUUUGAUACUGAGGAUCUCGAGUCCGGGAGAGGUGAGUGGAACUCCGAGUGUAGAGGUGAAAUUCGUAGAUAUUCGGAAGAACACCAGUGGCGAAGGCGGCUCACUGGCCCGGUACUGACGCUGAGGUGCGAAAGCGUGGGAGCAAACAGG